AUUGAACGCUGGCGGCAGGCCUAACACAUGCAAGUCGAGCGGAUGAAGGGAGCUUGCUCCUGGAUUCAGCGGCGGACGGGUGAGUAAUGCCUAGGAAUCUGCCUGGUAGUGGGGGAUAACGUCCGGAAACGGGCGCUAAUACCGCAUACGUCCUGAGGGAGAAAGUGGGGGAUCUUCGGACCUCACGCUAUCAGAUGAGCCUAGGUCGGAUUAGCUAGUUGGUGGGGUAAAGGCCUACCAAGGCCACGAUCCGUAACUGGUCUGAGAGGAUGAUCAGCCACACUGGAACUGAGACACGGUCCAGACUCCUACGGGAGGCAGCAGUGGGGAAUAUUGGACAAUGGGCGAAAGCCUGAUCCAGCCAUGCCGCGUGUGUGAAGAAGGUCUUCGGAUUGUAAAGCACUUUAAGUUGGGAGGAAGGGCAGUAAGUUAAUACCUUGCUGUUUUGACGUUACCAACAGAAUAAGCACCGGCUAACUUCGUG
rnacentral:rRNA from 1 species